UACGGAGGGUGCAAGCGUUAUCCGGAUUCACUGGGUUUAAAGGGUGCGUAGGCGGGCUUGUAAGUCAGUGGUGAAAGCCCGGGGCUCAACUCCGGAACUGCCGUUGAUACUGCAAGCCUUGAGUACGGUUGAGGUGGGCGGAAUACAUCAUGUAGAGGUGAAAUUCUUAGAUAUGAUGUAGAACACCGAUUGCGAAGGCAGCUCACUAAAGCGUAACUGACGCUGAGGCACGAAAGCGUGGGGAUCAAACAGG
rnacentral:rRNA from 1 species